rnacentral:lncRNA from 1 species
UUUUUUUGUUAUUAUUAUUGAUUAGGCUCCAUAUCCAUCUGUUGAUACACUCUACAUGGAAGGAUACUGGCAAUCAGAACAGUUUUGUACUGAGGGUAUAUUAAACCACCUUUAGACAGUAAAGCUUGACUGGUUUGAAGGAAGUGAUAGUGAACUAGACCUGUGCAACUUAUCAUUUGCUAGAUAACGAAAUGCAGGUAUGCUACCAUAUUUUGCAUUUUGAAACAAGAUGUUCAAUCUUUUGUUUUAUGAAUUGAGUUGAUAUGUUCAAUUAAGAAGUGAUUUGUUAUGCUUGUCAGGCCACACAUAUUUACUUUUCCUUUUGGUAAUAUAUUACCAAUAUGGUUAAGCAUUCCAGGUCUUAUUUAACAUUUGUUCAGUUUCUUUUUUCACUUCAUAUAGUAGUGUCUACUACUUUUUAUUUUUAUUUUGCUAGCAAAUAGGUCAAGAUUUGAGCACAAGGUCGCCGUGAUAGUUGGUGUAAAAUCAACCUAAAUUAAUUAGGUUAGUCUUUAGAUAUAUAGUGAGUAAAACAUUGAUUGUGCUGCAGAAUGUGGUCUCACCAUAUCUGAACUGUUGCGAAUAUAGGUAUAUGUUGUCUUCUUUACUAUUAGUAAAGUCUUAAUCCAUAUCUACACCUUGCGUCCUUUUGAACAUAUCUUAGUUUUUCACCAUUGAUCGGUAUUUUAAAUCAUUUCUACCUGCUUCAUUUUUACAGCCUGAUUUCGAUUCUGGGAUGUAUGCUACCUAAAACCAAGUCAAUCUCCAAAAUCUUUGCAUGAAAUUUGUGGCAAGAGAAGUGUUGCUAAAUUACUUGCAUGUUUUAGUCAUCUGAUGAACAUAAUAUACUUCUAAUUAGUUUUGUUUUGGUCUUUAUUUAUUAGGAUCUGAAGAUUUGACUGCUUUGGGGGGUUUUCUUUAAAGCAGCUUGGUACAUUUGAGUCUAAGUUUCUUGCAGAAAGUGACUGAAUAAAACCUUGCUGUUAGAUGGUCACUAGAGAAUCUAAAUGUCUUUAGUCUUGGGGACCAUGAAGAUCAGGUAUGCAGAAGGAUUGCUAGAGAGAAGUUCGCCAAAAGGCGGCUGAAUACCAUUCUCCUCAAUCAGUGAAGUUCAGUUUGUUAGGUGGAUACCACAAUUUGAUGUAAACUUUGUUCCUAAAUUUGUUUCCUCAGAAUCUCUACCUUGUGGGCUGUGGCUUGUAAUAUUGUAGCUUAAUCCUGCAAACAAAGUCUUGCAUUCUUCCUCAUUUUAAUGAUGUUUUGUGUUAUGAUGUAAAAGUGAAAGCAUUCACCAUUUUCUGGAAAA